GGACCCGCACAAGCAGUGGAGCAUGUGGUUUAAUUCGAUGCAACGCGAAGAACCUUACCCAGACUUGACAUGCAGAGGCGAGUAUGAGAAAUUAUACUGUCCUACGGGACCUCUGUGCAGGUGCUGCAUGGCUGUCGUCAGCUCGUGCCGUGAGGUGUUGGGUUAAGUCCCGCAACGAGCGCAACCCUUAUCGUUAGUUGCCAGCGCGUAAUGGCGGGGACUCUAGCGAGACUGCCUGGGUUAACCAGGAGGAAGGUGAGGAUGACGUCAAGUCAGCAUGGCCCUUAUGUCUGGGGCUACACACGUGCUACAAUGGUCGGUACAGAAGGCAGCAAAGCCGAAAGGUGGAGCAAAUCCUAGAAACCGUGCCUCAGUUCGGAUUGCAGGCUGCAACUCGCCUGCAUGAAGCCGGAAUCGCUAGUAA
rnacentral:rRNA from 1 species